AGAGUUUGAUCCUGGCUCAGAACGAACGCUGGCGGCAGGCCUAAUACAUGCAAGUCGAGCGGGCGUAGCAAUACGUCAGCGGCGGACGGGUGAGUAACACGUGGGAAUAUGCCCCGAGGUACGGGACAACUCAGGGAAACUUGAGCUAAUACCGUAUGAUCCGGCAACGGCAAAGAUUUAUCGCCUUGGGAUUAGCCCGCGUCCGAUUAGCUAGUUGGUGAGGUAAUGGCCCACCAAGGCACCGAUCGGUAGCUGGUUUGAGAGAACGACCAGCCACACUGGGACUGAGACACGGCCCAGACUCCUACGGGAGGCAGCAGUAGGGAAUCUUGGACAAUGGGGGAAACCCUGAUCCAGCCAUGCCGCGUGAGUGAUGAAGGCCUUCGGGUUGUAAAACUCUUUCGACGGGGACGAUAAUGACGGUACCCGUAGAAGAAGCUCCGGCUAACUUCGUGCCAGCAGCCGCGGUAAUACGAAGGGGGCUAGCGUUGUUCGGAAUUACUGGGCGUAAAGCGCGCGCAGGCGGCCUUUCAAGUCAGGGGUGAAAGCCCAGAGCUCAACUCUGGAAUUGCCUUUGAAACUGUCAGGCUUGAGUACGGGAGAGGUGAGUGGAAUUCCCAGUGUAGAGGUGAAAUUCGUAGAUAUUGGGAAGAACACCGGUGGCGAAGGCGGCUCACUGGCCCGUUUCUGACGCUCAUGCGCGACAGCGUGGGGAUCAAACAGGAUUAGAUACCCUAGUAGUCC
rnacentral:rRNA from 1 species